rnacentral:rRNA from 1 species
CCUACGGGAGGCAGCAGUCGAGAAUCAUUCACAAUGGGGGAAACCCUGAUGGUGCGACGCCGCGUGGGGGAAUGAAGGUCUUCGGAUUGUAAACCCCUGUCAUGUGGGAGCAAAUUAAAAAGAUAGUACCACAAGAGGAAGAGACGGCUAACUCUGUGCCAGCAGCCGCGGUAAUACAGAGGUCUCAAGCGUUGUUCGGAAUCACUGGGCGGAAAGCGUGCGUAGGCUGUUUCGUAAGUCGUGUGUGAAAGGCGCGGGCUCAACCCGCGGACGGCACAUGAUACUGCGAGACUAGAGUAAUGGAGGGGGAACCGGAAUGCUCGGUGUAGCAGUGAAAUGCGUAGAUAUCGAGAGGAACACUCGUGGCGAAGGCGGGUUCCUGGACAUUAACUGACGCUGAGGCACGAAGGCCAGGGGAGCGAAAGGGAUUAGAUACCCCAGUAGUC